rnacentral:rRNA from 1 species
CCUACGGGAGGCAGCAGUGAGGAAUAUUGGGCAAUGGGCGCAAGCCUGACCCAGCAACGCCGCGUGAAGGAAGAAGGCUUUCGGGUUGUAAACUUCUUUUGUCAGGGAAGCAACAAGUGACGGUACCUGAAGCAUAAGCCACGGCUAAAUACGUGCCAGCAGCCGAGGUAAUACGUAGGUGGCAAGCGGUAUCCCGAUUUACUGGGGGUAAAGGGCGUGUAGGCGGUACUGCAAGUCAGAUGUGAAAACCACGGGCUCAACCUGUUGCCUGCAUUUGAACCUGUAGUUCUUGAGUACUGGAGAUGCAGACGGAAUUCGUAGUGUAGCGGUGAAAUGCGUAGAUAUUAGGAGGAACCCCAGUGGCGAAAGCGGUCUGCUGGACACCGACUGACGCUGAGGCGCGAAAGCGUGGGGAGCAAACAGGAUUAGAUACCCUUGUAGUC